rnacentral:lncRNA from 1 species
GGUAUUUGAGUUUAAGAUAUUGUGUAUUGGAGGAGUUGCCAUCAUGUAUAGGGGACUUGAGAUACUUGGAAACACUUGAUUUAAGGGUAAAUUGUUAUGUUGUCAUACCGAAUGUGUUAUGGAAGAUGAAACGUUUGAAGCAUCUUUAUCUUCCUUACACGAUUAGGGGCGUAAAUAAGAAAUUGAGAUUUGAUGGCCUCAAGGAGUUAGAGUUAUUACAGAAUUUUGAUGCGAGCAAGUGUGACGUCAACGAUCUCAUGGAACUAACCAACCUUCGAGUACUAAUUUACGCAACGAUAAAUAGUCUCGAGGAACAAAAAGGGGUGAUGAAUUUCGUCAAUUCAGACUUGCGCCACCCACAGUACACAUCCCUUGACAUACUAAUUGAGUUAAAUAAUGAUCAUAUCAAUUUGAUUCAAUUUUUAGUGUGUGACAAUCUAAAUGAGUUGACUAUUGUGGGGAAUGGUAGAGGCAAUAUCAUGAUACCUGAUCACCCGUAUGAACAACCACGUCUCUCUGAAAGCCUCACUCGUAUACGAUUAGCUAAUUGUAAUUUUGAGGCAGACGCAAUGGUGUUACUACAGAAGCUUCCCAACCUACAAAUACUGGCAUUAAAUGGUAAUUGCUUUGCGGGGAAUGAAUUUGUAUUUAGUUCAAACAGUUUCCCUCAACUCGUAUGUCUUGAGCUGUCGGGAAAUCCGUUAGAAAAGUGGAGGGUGGAUGAAGGAGCCAUGCCCAAUCUUUCUAUAUUACAGAUUACUAGGUGUGAGAAAUUGGAGAUGCUUCCAGAGGGAUUGAAAUUCCUCACGUCCCUUGGAGAAUUAAGAAUUUGGUGGAUGCCUAAAGCAUUCAAUGAUAGGAUUCGAGUGAUAAAUGGUGUAGAAGGACAAGACUUCCACAAACUCCGUCACAUCCCUUCCAUUGUUAUCCGAGGUAAGCCCUUAAUUAAUUACGUUGUCCUUUCGUCCGUCCGUCCGUCCGUCCCAUUAAUUUUAAUUGUAUUAUUUCUUAUUAAUUUAUUAUUAUUAUUAUUAUUGGAUUUCAGGUGAAUUGAAAUCCAAUAUGAAACUGAACUGAGGUAAGCCCUUAAUUAAUGACGUCCGUUCCACCGUCGCUUUAAUUUUAAUUGUAUUACUAUUUCUUAUUAAUUUCUUCUUCUUAUUAUUAUUGGAUUUCAGGUGAAUUGAAGCCCUCCGAUCGACUCCGAUAUAUAAAGGGACAAUUUGUUCGUUUCGCUUGUUGGUGUUUAAUUUCAUCUUUCAUUUGUGUACUGUGUAAAUUGUAAUAAUCUCUCUAACCUCAAAACUCAUAUUCUAUAUAUGUUACAUAUUCUCUUUAAUUAAUAUGUACAGCUCUCUUUAAUUAUUUCUCUGCGCUUACAACAUUAAAGAUACAAUUUAAUUGUUGAGGUCAACGACAACAUAUUAAAUUUAAAAUUGUUGUGAAUAUAAUUAAUUUUAGCUGAUACAAUAAUUAUAAUUAUAUGGUAUAUAACAACAACUAUUAAUUAAACACAAAUGUUAUUUCAUUCUAAAUUUUUAUGAGUCAUACCAAUUUUAAAAUUUAAUAUGUCGUUGUUUGACCUAAAAAACAUCUCACGAAUAUUAAAGUUAUGUUUCUUUUUAAAAUUUUAUUAAUGUUGAAAUGAUGAUUCAUUAUGAAAUGUUGAAUCAAUGUAUUUUUUUAUUAACACAUUUUUUAAUAAUCUUUAAAUUUUAAUUUAAUUUAUAAGUCAUUAUCAAUCAAGCAUCUUCACAACAUAUUUAAACUUAAUUCUUUAUUUAUAAGUUAAAUUGUUGUCGAGAACUUUUCUUAUAAAUCAUAAACGGAUCUAUAAUUCACUUAAUUUUAACUUAAAAAUCGUUUUAAAAUAAGUCAUUGUCGAAUGGGCCCUUGAGGGACAUUCAGCUAGACUUAUAAGAGUUGGUUUAACUUAUAAGGUGAUUAAACUGACUAAUAAGUCAGUCUUUACUAUUUGAGUGUUCAAACAUGACUUAAAUUUUAAUUUAUUAAUUGACUUAUAAGUUUUUUUAAAGAAGUAAAUCAAAAAUGACUUAUAAGCCAUUUUAAAUAAAUAAGUUUGAUCAAAUAUAAUAAUUAUUCUACACUUUAUCUGUUUUUUAUAAAUUGCAUCCAAUUGAACCCUUUAUAUAUAUAUCGUCCUCUAUCUCCUCUCUUUCUCUCUCUCCUCCAUCUAUUUUUUAUUUUAAAUUUUAAUUGAUAUUAAAAUUUUAAAAAAAUAAUAACUCGGGUAUGCAUUUCGAUGCGGUCGCAGCAAUUUUGAGUUUAAAACAUCCAAUUGAAUUCAUGUUGUGAAAAAAAAGUUUUAAAACAUCAUCAUGUACUAAAACAUCUCCUAUACACAUUUUAAAUAACAACAUCAUCCUAUAUGCGAGUCUUCAGCACAAUCUUUUUGCCUCCCUCUUAGUUUCAAGCAAAGUAAAAACAUCAGCUACCACUCCCAUAUUGAUACUGGAAAAGAACACAACCACACAGGUGCAUUCAAACAUCAGUAACACAGAUGAGAUAUUUGUAGUCAAACUAUAUCUUUUAAUAAAAGAGCCUAGAAAUAUCACAGACAUGCUCGAUAAAUUAAAUCUACAUAAACAAGUACUUGAUCUUAAUAUGUUGUAGAUGCAGAAAAUAGUGGUAUUAAUCAGGAAACUCAUGCAGAUAAACAUGAAUGACAACAUUUAUACAAACUAGCUAAAAUAUAAUAAAGUAAGUUAUGAAUUUCAUAUCACUUUAUAAAAUUAAAAAUAUAUCUCUAAUCUUGGAACCGUGGUGGAAGGUAUUCAUAAGUACUAUUUUUUGACAAAUAAUAUUUAUCUAUAUAUUUUUGUUAUUUUUUCAAGAUUCAUGUUAUUAUAUACCAUUUUUUCCAAUAAUUUUAAAUCCAUAUAUCAUAUGCAACUUCAUGUUAACGCCUAACACUUUAAUAGUAUUUUGGUGUUUUUUUUUUGCCAACGUUCUAUAAAUCAGGGGAAUUUAGAAAGAGUGAUAAGCAGAUCACCCAAUUAAAUUAGGAAAUUGAUUUCCAAGAUGCACAUAAUGAUCAAGGUAUGGAAUUAACACGUAGACUUGCAAUAUACAAUGCCCACAACCUUGACAUUGCCUUGGAGCAACAAUAUAUGGUUGGACAGAUUCGAUCACUUUUAUACUUCAAUGCAUAUGUUUAUCCGGAGAAAGUAUAUAGUCUCAAGAAUUUUAAGUUGGUUAGAGUUUUGAAACUCGACGGAUUUAAGUUCAGUGAGGGAAAGUUACUUCAAGAAAUAACUAAACUCAUUCACUUGAGGUAUUUGAGUUUGGUAGGUUGUGUGUGUAUUGGAGGAGUUGCCAUCAUGUAUAGGGGACUUGAGAUACUUGGAAACACUUGAUUUAAGGGUAUUUGAUUUAGGUGGUGUUAUCAUAUCAGAUGUGUUAUGGAAGAUGAAACGUUUGAAGCAUCUUUAUCUUCCUUACACGAUUAGGGGCGUAAAUAAGAAAUUGAGAUUUGAUGGCCUCAAGGAGUUGGAGUUAUUAGAGAAUUUUGAUGCGAGCAAGUGUGACGCGAACGAUCUCAUGAAACUAACCAAUCUUCAAGUACUAAUUGACGCAAUGACAUGUAGUCUCGAGGAACAAAAAGGGGUGAUGAAUUUCGUCAAUUAAGACUUGCGCCACCCCCGGUACACAUCCCUUAAAAUACUAAUUAAGUUAUAUAUUGAUCAUAUCAAUUUGAUUCAAUUUUUAGUGUGUGACAAUCUAAAUGAGUUGACUAUUGAGGGGAAUGGUAGAGGCAAUAUCAUGAUACCUGAUCACCCGUAUGAACAACCACGUCUCUCUCAAAGCCUCACUCGUAUACGAUUAGCUAAUUGUAAUUUUGAGGCAGACGCAAUGGUGUUACUAGAGAAGCUUCCCAACCUACAAAGACUGGAAUUACAUUAUAUUUAUUUUGCGGGGAAUGAAUUUACAUGUACUGCAAACAGUUUCCCUCAACUCAUAUAUCUUGAGCUGUCGGGAAAUUCGUUAGAGAAGUGGAGGGUGGAUGAAGGAGCCAUGCCCAAUCUUUCUAUAUUAGAGAUUGAUGUCUGUAAGAGAUUGGAGAUGCUUCCAGAGGGAUUGAAAUUCCUCACGUCCCUUGGAAAAUUAAUAAUUUGGUACAUGCCUAAAGCAUUCAAUGAUAGGGUCCGAGUGAUAGAUGGUGUAGAAGGACAAGACUUCCACAAAGUCCGUCACACCCCUUCCAUUGUUAUCCAAGAUGAACUGAGGUAAGCCCUUAAUUAAUUACGUUGUCCUUCCGUCCGUCCGUCCCAUUAAUUUUAAUUGUAUUAUUUCUUAUUAAUUUAUUAUUAUUAUUAUUAUUAUUGGAUUUCAGGUGAAUUUAAGCCCUCCGAUCGACUCCGAUAUAUAAAAGGACAAUUUGUUCGUUUUGCUUGUUGGUGUUUAAUUUUAUCUUUCAUUUGUGUAUUGUGUAAUAAUCUCUCUAACCUCAAAACUCAUAUUCUAUAUAUGUUACAUAUCUUUAAUUGAAACUUAAGGUGCAGGUUGGCUGUAUUAUAUAUUUUAACUCCUCCUUCUACCCCUUGGUCUUAAUUUUAUCUAUCUAGCUAGCUACCUACCUACUUGUUGUUUCAAGAUAUAUCAAUGGCAGAGGCUGUGGUCUCUUUUGCUGUUGAAAGGCUUGGAGAUUUGUUGAUCUCUGAAGCUAAAUUCUUAUAUGGAGUGAAGGAUAAAGUCUUAGAAAUUCAAAGUCUGCUAAAGGAGAUGCAGAAUUUCUUAGAAGACGCAGACAAUAAAAGAGGAAACCAAGACAUUGGCAAAUGGGUAGCUGAGAUUAGAGAACUUGCUCUACAAACGGAAGAUGUCCUCGAAACGCAUGUAGUAAAAGUUGCAUCAAGGAGAGGAGAAGGGCACGUCAAGAAAUUUAUGAGAAGACUUGCUUGUCUAACACUUCAUAAGAUUGGUUCGGAAAUUGGGAGUAUUCAAGCUAAGAUCACAAAUCUGGCUACAAGUCGACCAACUUUGGGUAUACAAGCAUUGGAUGAUCAUCGAGUAGAAAGCUCAAAAGCGGAAGAGGAGAGAAGACAACAAUUAAGGAUCACUUAUGCCCAUUCAAUUGAAAGGGAUCUUGUUGGAAUGGAGGAGGAAACAAAAGAAUUGGUUUUACAUUUGAAAAACAAAGACAGAGGCUAUAUAUGAAGUUGUUUCCGUAUGGGGGAUGGGCGGGCAAAGAAAGACCACUCUUGCUAAAAAAUUAUACAAUCACACAGAUGUUCGAUCCUAUUUUGAAGCCUUUGCAUGGGUUUGCAUCACCCAAAAAUUGGAAAGACAAACUGUCUUGCAAGACAUCCUUCAAAAACUUCUCCCUACGAAGAGCGAGGGUGAGAUCGGGGAAAUGAGAGAUACAAAAUUGGUUGAACUGCUCUACAAAACCCAAAAAGAGUUUAAGUGUCUGGUCGUGAUUGAUGACAUUUGGUCCCUGGAUGAUUGGAAAACGCUAAAACAAGCCUUUCCGGUUGAUGAGACGAGUGGUAGUAAAAUAUUGCUUACAACUCGUAACGAAGCAGUGGCAAACAUUGGAUUUCCGUACAAGCUUCGUCCUCUAAGUAACGACGAAGGUUGGAAGCUACUUCUCCAGAAAGCAUUUCCUAGAAGAGAUGAUGCUGCAGGUCAGUUUCUUUUUUUGUUUUUUUACUAUAAUAUACUAUAGGAUAACAAAAAAAAUAAUGAUGAUAAACUAUUAAAUUUAAAAUAAUACUCCCUCCGUUCCCAAAAUUAAAGAUGAUAAAAGUGUAAUUUUCACACAAGUUAAGAUUGUGAAAAAAAUUAGGACAGACUAUAUAUGUGUUCUUAAUAUACCCUUGUCCUCCAGUAUUGUGAUGAGUUGAUGACAAAUAAUAUUUAUCUAUAUAUCUUUUUUCUAUUAAUAAUUUUAAAUCCAUAUAUCAUAUGCAAAUCCUUGAUCCCUCCAUGAGUUCAGGUAUACCAGCACCGAUCCAAAACAACUCCAUGCUAACGCUUAACACAACACUUUAGGGUUAUGUUUGUUUGCAAGAAUUAUAAUUCAUGAGAUUAUAAUCUCAAGAAUAUUAAUUCUAUUAUUAUAAUCCGGGAUUAUAAUUAAUUAUAAUCCUAAAACUAUUAAGUCAUCAUUUUAUAAUCGUUAAACUAAUAGUCACAAGUCUAAAUUUAGAGCACUUAUGCCUCUAGUCUAAACUCUUAUGAUCAACCCUCUCUCUAAGUUGAUGAUCAGGUCGAAUUUAAAGACAUUCUCUUUAUAAUUCAUGCUAACGCUUAACACAAUAUUUUAGGGCUAUAUUUGUUUGCAAGGAUUAAUCAUAUUAUUAUAAUCCCGGGAUUAUAAUUAAUUAUAAUCUUAAGACUAUUAAGUCAUUUUAUAAUCCCUAGACUAAUAGUCACAAGUCUAAAUUUGAAAACAAACAAGAUAUUUAAAAUUAAUAGUCUUAUCCCAAGUAUAAUCCUUACAAACAAAUAUAGCGUUAACAGUAUUACAGUAUAUUAUGGUGCUUUUUUUCUAACGUUCUAUAAAUUACGGGAAUUUAGAAAGAGUGAUAACCACAUCACCCAAUUAAAUUAUAGUUCCAUAAACAUACUUUUGAUUUCUAUUUGGGUAUACUAUAUAGAAAAUAGUUCAGUUGGACAUAUUUAUAUUUGAUUAUUAUAUGACUAGUACAACCUGAACUGUUGGGUAUAUUCUCUAAGGUGAUGAUCAGGUCGAAUUUAAAGCACAUUUUCUAAAAAUUGUAGCAAGUGUAUAUGUUAGAACCUACAAUGUUAAUGUUGGGUAGUGCAGGUUGCGCCAGUAUAGGCUUAUGAGUAGCGCGGGGCGCGCUAUGCUCGGUAAAGUUUAUGCAGCACUGGCGCGGGGUGCACCAGACGAAGCUGACAAGAGAGUACGGUGUUACAAGGACAUUAUGGGUAUUAGGUUAUAAUGUGAGUUAGGGUUGGAAUAGAAAUAGUCGUCAUAUAUCACGUAAAUCUCUGUGUUAAUUUUUUAUUGUCGUGUGCGUGUGUGUGAUCUAAUUCUAACAUACAACUUUACCAUAAAACUACAAUUCAGCACCCAAAAAAUCAAGUUAACAAAGAAAUUUCAAAGUUAAUUUUUAUAUAUUGUGGUUACAAAGUUACAAUGAAACGAGGUAUUCACAGUUGUGCGCUAUAUAUUGUUCUUAAACUUCCUCACAAAGAUGUCGUCUUAAUUCUAGCUAAUUCAUUGUUGCAAUAAAUAAGAAAUUGUUUUAAUUAUCUUAAUUAAUGGAUCUGUCUCAUGAUUUUUAUUUUUUUAAUUUGUUUUUAUUUUUAUUUUUACAGAUAUUAGAGUCGAACCAAAGAAAGAAUAUCUGGGGAGGGAUAUGGUUCAACAAUGUCAAGGUCUACCUUUAGCCAUCUCAGCCCUUGGAGGGCUUUUGAAGAACAAAAAUUCAUUAAGGGAAUGGGAGAUGGUGAAGAAAGAUAUUGCUUCAAACUUAAGUAGAGAAGGAGAUGGUGGAGUAAUGCAUAUUUUAGGUUUAAGCUAUGAUGAUCUACCUUUUCGUUUGAAACAACUAUUCCUUUAUCUGGGAAAUUUUAAGGAGGAUGAGGAGAUACAGGUUGGCGAGUUGUACCUAUUAUGGAUUGCAGAAGGUAUGAUACCUUCAGUCCAAAAAGCAAAAGGAGAAAUGCUUAUGGAUGUUGCGGAAAGAUACUUGGUUGAACUCGCACAGAGGAGCCUGAUUCAACUUGAACCAAGGGAUAAACGAUGGCUGGAUUAUGAUCAUCCACAUUCAGUCCCAUGGUUAAACAUUCGAUCAUGUCGCCUUCAUGACCUUAUUCGAGACAUAUGUUUGUCAAAGGGAAAAGAGGAAGAUAUUCUUAAGAUCAUUGAUUUCCAAGAUGCACAUAAUGAUCAAGGUAUGGAAUUAACACGUAGACUUGCAAUAUACAAUGCCCACAACCUUGACAUUUCCUUGGGUAUGGUUGGACAGAUUCGAUCAUUAUUAUUCUUCAAAUUAGCGAUUGAUCUUCCAGAACAAGUAUUCAAUUUCAAGGAUUUUAAGCUGAUUAGAAUUUUGAAACUCGACGGAUUUAAGUUCAGUGAGAGAAAGUUACAUCAAGAAAUAGGUGAACUGAUUCACCUAAGGUAUUUGAGUUUGAAAUAUUGUGCCUUGGAUGAGUUGCCAUCAUCUAUAGGGGACUUGAGAUAAUUGGAAACACUUGAUUUAAGGGUAUUUGAUUCAGGUGGUGUUAUCAUACCAGAUGUGUUAUGGAAGAUAAAACAUUUGAAGCAUCUUUAUCUUCCCUCCUUUAUUAGGCACGUAAAUAAGAAAUUGAGAUUUGAUGGCCUCAAGGAGUUGGAGUUGUUAGAGAAUUUUGAUGCUUUCAGGUGUGACGCGAACGAUCUCAAGAAACUAACCAAUCUUCAAGUACUAAUUAACGUAUCGAUAAAUAGUCUGGAGGAACAAGAAGGGGUGAUGAAUUUCGUCAACUCAGACUUGCACCACCCACGGUACACAUCCCUUAAAAUUUGGCAUGAUUAUAAUUUGAUUCAAUUGUUAGAGUGUGAGAAUCUAAAUGAGUUCACUAUAGUUGGGGAUGAUAGAGGCAAUUACAUGAUACCUGAACAACCACGUCUCUCUCAAAGCCUCACUCGUAUAUGCUUAUUUAAUUGUAAUUUUGAGGCAGACGCAAUGGUGUUACUACAGAAGCUUCCCAACCUACAAAGACUGGAAUUAAAUGGUAAUUGCUUUGCGGGGAAUGAAUUUGUAUGUAGUGAAAACAGUUUCCCUCAACUCAUAUAUCUUGAGUUUU